rnacentral:rRNA from 1 species
UACGAAGGGGCUAGCGUUGCUCGGAAUCACUGGGCGUAAAGGGUGCGUAGGCGGGUCUUUAAGUCAGGGGUGAAAUCCUGGAGCUCAACUCCAGAACUGCCUUUGAUACUGAAGAUCUUGAGUUCGGAGAGGUGAGUGGAACUCCGAGUGUAGAGGUGAAAUUCGUAGAUAUUCGGAAGAACACCAGUGGCGAAGGCGGCUCACUGGCCGAUACUGACGCUGAUGCACGAAGCGUGGAGCAAACAGG